rnacentral:rRNA from 1 species
AGUCUGACCGAGCACGCCGCGUGAGUGAAGAAGGUUUUCGGAUCGUAAAACUCUGUUGUUAGAGAAGAACAAGGAUGAGAGUAAAAUGUUCAUCCCUUGACGGUAUCUAACCAGAAAGCCACGGCUAACUACGUGCCAGCAGCCGCGGUAAUACGUAGGUGGCAAGCGUUGUCCGGAUUUAUUGGGCGUAAAGCGAGCGCAGGCGGUUUCUUAAGUCUGAUGUGAAAGCCCCCGGCUCAACCGGGGAGGGUCAUUGGAAACUGGGAGACUUGAGUGCAGAAGAGGAGAGUGGAAUUCCAUGUGUAGCGGUGAAAUGCGUAGAUAUAUGGAGGAACACCAGUGGCGAAGGCGGCUCUCUGGUCUGUAACUGACGCUGAGGCUCGAAAGCGUGGGGAGCGAACAGGAUUAGAUACCCUGGUAGUCCACGCCGUAAACGAUGAGUGCUAAGUGUUGGAGGGUUUCCGCCCUUCAGUGCUGCAGCAAACGCAUUAAGCACUCCGCCUGGGGAGUACGACCGCAAGGUUGAAACUCAAAGGAAUUGACGGGGGCCCGCACAAGCGGUGGAGCAUGUGGUUUA